GACAGAGGGUGCAAACGUUGUUCGGAAUUACUGGGCGUAAAGCGUGUGUAGGCGGCCGCGCAAGUCGGAUGUGAAAGCCCCAGGCUCAACCUGGGAGGUGCACCCGAUACUGCAUGGCUCGAGUACUGGAGAGGUUGGUGGAAUUCUCGGUGUAGAGGUGAAAUUCGUAGAUAUCGAGAGGAACACCGGUGGCGAAGGCGGCCAACUGGACAGAUACUGACGCUGAGACACGAAAGCGUGGGGAGCAAACAGG
rnacentral:rRNA from 1 species